GCAUCACCUGUAGCAAGCUGUCAGCAUUUGUCCCAGCUGUUCAUGCAGGCUCAGUGGGCAGCUGUGAGAACUCCUUCACAGCUCUGGGGCUCCAGCCCAAGGAAGCAGAGAUCCAAGAUAGCCUUUUGGACAGCACUGCCACAGCCAUCUGAAACCCACAUCCAUCUUACGCUGGAGGACUGCAUACACCAAACUGCACACACCACUUUUCUUCUAGGAGGUGGAUAACGGUAGGGAGCAUUCUGCCUGCUAAGUGGUAAAUCACAGCACUCGAAAGCAAACAGAAAUCAGAAGAUCUAGGACCCAAAGUGCUGUCUUGAGCCAUACAACAGGGGAUGAAGACAGGUUGCACUGAGAAGUUAAGCAACAAAUGGCCCUUGAAAGCAAAGACGUUUCAUCUCUAAUGCAUGCCUCAGAUUGUUUCUGGCUGGGUUUUGGCUCUCUUUGAACAAGGCAGAAGCUUUGUGCCUGGAUUGCUUAGCACACAGAAGAGAUCUGGGCUGAGUGUGUACUCUGCUUCGGGUAAGGACUGUCUUUAUCUCCUGUGCGUGGAUGGAGUACAGUGGAUCCCUCAAGAUGUUCCAGUGACAAAAGGUGACACAAGCAAGAGCUUGUUUACAUGGUUUGAGUAUGCAGGACAUCAGGGCUGGGAAUGGUCACUGUCAGACUUUGUCUCGACUCCACCACCAAGCCUGACCCUUCCAAAGACCCUAAAGGACCAUGCAGGCUCACGCCACUGCAUUACGACAGAUUGAUCCACAUGCAAGCUCCUUCUUUGACCUCAUUUCAGCCCAGGCUGACAUCUGGCCCUGUGUUUUCAAGCCAAUGCUGGGCUGACACAAGCUUUUGCAUAGUUGGGCAAGAUUGCCACGGGAAAGAAGGUGGAAUGACUCCUCGGGAAGCAGCAUCAGCACCUAUCAGCUGUAAUCAGCAUUUCUACACAGCAAGACUGAAAGCCUGGUUCCUUCCAUGACCAAGUGAGACAGCAUAACCUGCACUCAGGAUCAACACAACUCUACAGUCUCAUUGCGGCAGCCAAAACCAAUCCACCUUUAUCUACUUACAGCAGAGCUGAGCUCAAGGAAACAGGCAGUGUCUGGAAGGCUGAGCUGAUCAGCACCGUACAAAGAUCUCCCCAGAAAGUGCAAAGCCCUUUGGAGAAUAUCCCCACCCACUGUCCCUUUGGGGAGCAUCUUCCUGGGCUUGGUGCUGCCAUUCACUGUGGGUUUGGUGGCCACACCUGUCUCAGGGCUUUGGCUGAGUCUAUAGGGCAGAAUGUAGGCAUGGUUGUGGCAUCCAUGGCUCAGAGCAAGCCGUGUUGUUGGGCUGCAUGGGGCAGCCACGGCAGACGCAGAUAAAAGCAGUGCCUGAGAGGCAUCUGCCUGCAGUGGGGUGUGCGCUGCUAAUGCGCAGGGAUGAGCAGAUGGGUUGAUUACACAGGGAGAAAUGGACACUAAUCGUAUCCAGAUUCACCAGCUGCAGGAUUUCCUCCUGAGCCCUGAAGGACAGGAAGCCCUUACCUGCUUCUUUAUCCUGUCUCUGUUCAUUAGGCCCUUCCCCCGCCCUGGGAACCACGUCUGGGCUAAUUCCCUGCACCCAGACUGCAGAGCCAACAUCCAGAUAGGAACUCCCACAGUGCUCCAGCACAGCUGGAUGCAGCUCCAGCCCAGGGACCUAUCCUGUCUUUCAGCUCUGGCACAGCCUGGCUCAUGUUUUCCUGCUUGGGGAACCCACUGCAAGACUCCUCCUGCCUUCCAUUGCCUCUCUGAACAGUGGGGAACAAUUUGGGGCAAAUGAGAGCAUGUUGUGCACCAAAGGCUGCACUGGGGAUCAGUGCAUCAUGUGCCACCAUGUCCUGCAUUGAGAUGCAGCCACUUCUGAGAUAAUGUCCAGUAUGUGUUUGGCACACAUCCAAUGAAGCCAGGGAAUAAAGAAGGAUUUUGCAGGCUUAAAACAUCAGAGGCAACCCUCCAGCAGGCUGCACGAUGAUUCACUGGACUGAACUGGGAGGUGAUGCUGGAGAACUGGACUGCACUCUUGUUUCUGGGAGACUGAAACGUCUGGAGUGGUUGGGUUUCAUAGCCUGCUUAGGUCAGCAGUGCCAGCUUGAAGAAAGGAGCGGAAACAUCCCACCCUCCCUUAUCUGCAUCUCUCUGCAUCCACCCCAGCUCUCUUCAGCCCCAGUAAGCUGCUCCCAAAGCAGCAUGGCUGCAGGGAUGGCCUGAGGUGACCCCAUAUGGGGGGGUCUGAGCCUCAUCCUCAUCCACAAACAGGAGCCCUGGGAGCAGAUGCAUGGCAGUUCAAGCUGCUGGUCACGCUGGUAGCAGCAUUGCCCUCACUUUGGAUGGAGUCUGCACAUGAGGAAUAAGCUUGAAAAAUGCUACAGCUCAAGCUGUUGCUUCAAGUGGGGCCUUGGGGGACCCUUUCUCCUUGCAUGCUGAGGGUGCCUCUGUUCCCAGCCCUAGGCUUGUGUUGUCAGACUCAGUGUGUGCCAGCUCCUGCACCAUCCCUGGAUGCCAUGGGAUGCCACGUGCUGCCCCUGCGAGCUGGUGCAUGGAUCUGAGCAAGCCAAGGCCGAAGGAGAGGAGAACCACUCCCUGCAUUCUUGGUGUAAUUCCCAGAACCUUCCUGCUCAGCCAAAGCUGCUUCAGGUCCCCGUGCCCGGCACUGAAACAUCAGCACAGCCAUCCUGUGAGCUCAAAUCACACCCCAGGAUGCUGACUGAGCAGUCAACGACGCUGAAUGGAGCCGUGGCUGCUCUGCAGACCCCUCCAGGCAGGAGGAAGAGGAGGAAGCGCAGCACUUGGCACAGCCUUGCAGCCACGUAACACCAAAGACAAAGAGCAGCCACGAGCAACCCCACAGCAGCAAGCCAGGAUGGUGGAAGAAGUGGAUGGAAAUCGGAGAGUGAAAGAGGUGAUUUAUAGAGAGUAAAAACGGCAGCAAGAAAGGUAAAUAAUGCUGAUUCUUGUAAAGAAGAGCUGUGGGGUGGUUCGAUGGUGAGCUGGCACUGGGUACCCCGUGUCCCCCGUGGUGCAUGGAGCUGUGAGCAUCAUCUGUCCCUUGGAUGUGUUUCUACUGGGAUCCCACUCAACUUGUGCCCCCAGAUCCACUGCAACGAGCUGGCAACUACUGGGAAGGCCGAGGAAGAAGCCCACAAAGGCCAGGUUUGUUCCCCCUGCCUUUAACAUCCCGUUUCUCC
ensembl:lncRNA